rnacentral:rRNA from 1 species
CACGUAGGGCGCAAGCGUUGUCCGGAAUUAUUGGGCGUAAAGAGCGUGUAGGCGGUCCGGUAAGUCCGCUGUGAAAGUCGGGGGGCUCAACCCUCGAAUGCCGGUGGAUACUGUCGGGCUAGAGUGCGGAAGAGGCGAGUGGAAUUCCUGGUGUAGCGGUGAAAUGCGCAGAUAUCAGGAGGAACACCUAUUGCGAAGGCAGCUCGCUGGGACGUAACUGACGCUGAGACGCGAAAGCGUGGGGAGCAAACAGG